UACAGAGGGUGCGAGCGUUAAUCGGAAUUACUGGGCGUAAAGCGCACGUAGUCGGCUUUGCAAGUCGGGUGUGAAAUCCCCGGGCUCAACCUGGGAACUGCAUCCGAGACUGCAUUGCUAGAGUAUGGGAGAGGGAAGCGGAAUUUCUGGUGUAGCAGUGAAAUGCGUAGAUAUCAGAAGGAACAUCAGUGGCGAAGGCGGCUUCCUGGACCGGCAUUGACGCUGAGGCGCGAAAGCUAGGGGAGCAAACGGG
rnacentral:rRNA from 1 species